AUUGAACGCUGGCGGCACGCCUAACACAUGCAAGUCGAGCGGUAGCAUGGUUAGUAGCAAUACUAACUGAUGACGAGCGGCGGACGGGUGAGGAACACGUAGGAACCUGCCCAAGAGAGGGGGAUAACUAAGGGAAACUUUAGCUAAUACCGCAUAAUUCUCUGAGGAGAAAAGUUGCCCGUAAGGGUAGCGCUUUUGGAGGGGCCUGCGUCCGAUUAGUUAGUUGGUGAGGUAAUGGCUCACCAAGACUGUGAUCGGUAACUGGUCGGAGAGGACGACCAGGCACACUGGAACUGAGACACGGCCCAGACUCCUACGGGAGGCAGCAGUGGGGAAUCUUGGACAAUGGGGGCAACCCUGAUCCAGCGAUGCCGCGUGAGUGAAGAAGGCCUUCGGGUUGUAAAGCCCUUUAGGCUGGGAAGAAGUUUAUGGGAUGAAUAAUCCUGUAAAUUGACGGUACCAGCAGAAUAAGCACCGGCAAACUCUGUGCCAGCAGCCGCAGUAAUAC
rnacentral:rRNA from 1 species